GUGGUAUGCUGUAGGGAUGUGGUAUGCUGUAUGCUGGUAUGCUGUAGGGAUGUGGUAAGCUGUAGGGAUGUGGUAUGCUGUAGGGAUGUGGUAAGCUGUAGGGAUGUGGUAUGCUGUAGGGAUGUGGUAUGCUGUAGGGAUGUGGUAUGCUGUAGGGAUGUGGUAUGCUGUAGGGAUGUGGUAUGCUGUAGGGAUGUGGUAUGCUGUAGGGAUGUGGUAAGCUGUAGGGAUGUGGUAUGCUGUAGGGAUGUGGUAAGCUGUAGGGAUGUGGUAUGCUGUAGGGAUGUGGUAUGUAGGGAUGGUAUGCUGUAGGGAUGUGGUAUGCUGUAGGGAUGUGGUAUGCUGUAGGGAUGUGGUAUGCUGUAGGGAUGUGGUAUGCUGUAGGGAUGUUGUAGGGAUGUGGUAUGCUGUAGGGAUGCUGUAGGGAUGUGGUAUGCUGUUCAAGACUCAGUCACAGUUUGUUUGUCUAUUGUUUAACACUGCACCUAGCAAUAUUCCACCUAUAUUUUGUUGACCAGAAAUCACAUCUGACCAGAUCAGCCAAGGAAGGUAGGAUAAGGGCUCUAUUUUGUCCCUCUGCAAUUUUGUUCAAUCUUAGUUAAUUCCUUCAAAUAUUUGAAUGACAACUAUUGGACACAAGUAUAGAUUAAAUGAGUGAAAAAGAUGAUUCUUGUAAACUCCAACUCAAAAUAGGAAUGUCACAAUCAAACAGGCGUUUUCACCAGGAAAAGAAAAUCAAAUAAGAUCUACCUCUAAGAUCCGUUUUCACCAGUAACCUCUAAGAUCCGUUUUGUAGACACAUUUUAGUCUUGCCUAUACACGUAUGUUAUUAUCUCAAAACAUUCACAUGUUGAAAUGAGCAAAAUUGAGGAACAAGAUUCACAUUCAUAUGAACACAUCUGAUAGCUUCCACAACAAUUUCUUAAUCUUUUUUUCUCAUUUCUUUAUUUAUACAGAUCCUGUGUGUGUGCCUGUGCGCCAGAGGGCCGUUAUCUUAUCUUCUAAUGUGUAUCUGUUCCUGAACUAUAGCACUGUCACUGACCAUUGUAUAUAUCAUCGUCAUCAACAGGCAAUAAACAAACGACAAGA